rnacentral:rRNA from 1 species
AUUGAACGCUGGCGGCAGGCCUAACACAUGCAAGUCGAGCGGAUGAGGGUAGCUUGCUAUCUGAUUCAGCGGCGGACGGGUGAGUAAUGCCUAGGAAUCUGCCUGGUAGUGGGGGACAACGUCUCGAAAGGAACGCUAAUACCGCAUACGUCCUACGGGAGAAAGUGGGGGAUCUUCGGACCCCACGCUAUCAGAUGAGCCUAGGUACGAUUAGCUAGUUGGUGAGGUAAAGGCUCACCAAGGCGACGAUCGUUAACUGGUCUGAGAGGAUGAUCAGUCACACUGAAACUGAGACACGGUCCAGGCUCCUACGGGAGGCAGCAGUGGGGAAUAUUGGACAAUGGGCGAAAGCCUGAUCCAGCCAUGCCGCGUGUGUGAAGAAGGUCUUCGGAUUGUAAAGCACUUUAAGUUGGGAGGAAGGGCAGUAAGUUAAUACCUUGCUGUUUUGACGUUACCGACAGAAUAAGCACCGGCUAACUUCGUGCCAGCCGCCGCCGUAAAAC